rnacentral:rRNA from 1 species
AGAGUUUGAUCCUGGCUCAGGAUGAACGCUAGCGGCAGGCCUAAUACAUGCAAGUCGAACGGUGAUAGCAAUAUCAUAGUGGCGCACGGGUGCGUAACACGUAUGCAACCUACCUUAUACUGAGGGAUAGCCUUUCGAAAGGGAGAUUAAUACCUCAUAACACAUUGAACUGGCAUCAGUUUAUUGUUAAAGAUUUAUUGGUAUAAGAUGGGCAUGCGUCCAAUUAGUUAGUUGGCGAGGUAACGGCUCACCAAGACGAUGAUUGGUAGGGGAACUGAGAGGUUAAUCCCCCACACUGGCACUGAGAUACGGGCCAGACUCCUACGGGAGGCAGCAGUAGGGAAUAUUGGGCAAUGGAGGCAACUCUGACCCAGCCAUGCCGCGUGCAGGAAGAAGGCGUUAUGCGUUGUAAACUGCUUUUAUAUAGGAAGAAAUAGACCUUGCGAGGUAAGUUGACGGUACUAUAUGAAUAAGCACCGGCUAACUCCGUGCCAGCAGCCGCGGUAAUACGGAGGGUGCAAGCGUUGUCCGGAUUUAUUGGGUUUAAAGGGUGCGUAGGCGGUUUAUUAAGUCAGUGGUGAAAGACGGUCGCUCAACGAUUGCAGUGCCAUUGAUACUGGUAGACUUGAGUGGGAUUGAGGU